AGAGUUUGAUCCUGGCUCAGAUUGAACGCUGGCGGCAUGCCUUACACAUGCAAGUCGAACGGUAACGCGGGGCAACCUGGCGACGAGUGGCGAACGGGUGAGUAACGCAUCGGAACGUGCCCAGUAGUGGGGGAUAGCCCGGCGAAAGCCGGAUUAAUACCGCAUACGACCUACGGGUGAAAGCGGGGGACCGUAAGGCCUCGCGCUAUUGGAGCGGCCGAUGUCAGAUUAGGUAGUUGGUGGGGUAAAAGCCUACCAAGCCGACGAUCUGUAGCUGGUCUGAGAGGACGACCAGCCACACUGGGACUGAGACACGGCCCAGACUCCUACGGGAGGCAGCAGUGGGGAAUUUUGGACAAUGGGCGCAAGCCUGAUCCAGCCAUGCCGCGUGCGGGAUGAAGGCCUUCGGGUUGUAAACCGCUUUUGUCAGGGAAGAAACGCUCCGGGCCAAUACCCUGGGGUAAUGACGGUACCUGAAGAAUAAGCACCGGCUAACUACGUGCCAGCAGCCGCGGUAAUACGUANGGUGCAAGCGUUAAUCGGAUUACUGGGCGUAAAGCGUGCGCAGGCGGUUUUGUAAGACAGAGGUGAAAU
rnacentral:rRNA from 1 species